rnacentral:rRNA from 1 species
AACGAACGCUGGCGGCAGGCUUAACACAUGCAAGUCGAACGCCCCGCAAGGGGCGUGGCAGACGGGUGAGUAACGCGUGGGAACGUACCGUUCAGUUCGGAACAACUCAGGGAGACAUGUGCUAAUACCGGAUACGUCCGUAAGGAGAAAGAUUUAUCGCUGAAAGAUCGGCCCGCGUUGGAUUAGAUAGUUGGUGGGGUAAUGGCCUACCAAGGCGACGACUCCUAGCUGGUAUGCGAGGAUGAGCAGCCACACUGGGACUGAGACACGGCCCAGACUCCUACGGGAGGCAGCAGUCGGGAAUAUUGGACGAUGGGCGAAAGCCUGAUCCAGCCAUGCCGCGUGAGUGUUGAAGGCCCUAGGGUUGUAAAGCUCUUUCACCGAUGAAGAUAAUGACGGUAGUCGGAGAAGAAGCCCCGGCUAACUUCGUGCCAGCAGCCGCGGUAA